GGCACCGAGUAUUAUAUUGAUGUGGAUGGAGUCUUCAUUCACGAUGGCUGGAAUUCCUCUGAUAUUGGAAAUGGCAAUGACAUUGCUUUGCUACACCUCUCCUCUCCUGCCUAUGACAAUGGAUUUGUUGAGAUAGGAUUGCUUCCACCUGAAGGAGACAUUUUGCCUGAUAACUAUCCCUGUUAUAUUACUGGAUGGGGAGUGGAUAGUGUUGAUGGCAAUGCCCCUGCCAAACUUCAAGAAGUGAUGCUGCU